GCAUAUCAAUAAGCGGAGGAAAAGAAACCAACAGGGAUUGCCUCAGUAGCGGCGAGUGAAGCGGCAAGAGCUCAGAUUUGAAAUCGUGCUUUGCGGCACGAGUUGUAGAUUGCAGGUUGGAGUCUGUGUGGAAGGCGGUGUCCAAGUCCCUUGGAACAGGGCGCCCAGGAGGGUGAGAGCCCCGUGGGAUGCCGGCGGAAGCAGUGAGGCCCUUCUGACGAGUCGAGUUGUUUGGGAAUGCAGCUCCAAGCGGGUGGUAAAUUCCAUCUAAGGCUAAAUACUGGCGAGAGACCGAUAGCGAACAAGUACUGUGAAGGAAAGAUGAAAAGCACUUUGAAAAGAGAGUGAAACAGCACGUGAAAUUGUUGAAAGGGAAGGGUAUUGCGCCCGACAUGGGGAUUGCGCACCGCUGCCUCUCGUGGGCGGCGCUCUGGGCUUUCCCUGGGCCAGCAUCGGUUCUUGCUGCAGGAGAAGGGGUUCUGGAACGUGGCUCUU
rnacentral:rRNA from 1 species